rnacentral:pre_miRNA from 1 species
ACACAAAUCACAGAGAUCUUGUUAAAAUACAGGUUCUGAGGCCUGAGGUCCUGCACUUCUAACAAGCUCCCAGGUGAUGCUGAU